rnacentral:rRNA from 1 species
AUUGAACGCUGGCGGAAUGCUUUACACAUGCAAGUCGAGCGGCAGCGCGGGGGCAACCCUGGCGGCGAGCGGCGAACGGGUGAGUAAUACAUCGGAACGUGUCCUUAAGUGGGGGAUAGCUCGGCGAAAGCCGGAUUAAUACCGCAUAAGCUCUGAGGAGGAAAGCGGGGGCUCCGUAAGGACCUCGCGCUGUUGGAGCGGCCGAUGUCGGAUUAGCUAGUUGGUGGGGAAAGGCCCACCAAGGCGACGAUCCGUAGCUGGUCUGAGAGGAUGAUCAGCCACACUGGAACUGAGACACGGUCCAGACUCCUACGGGAGGCA